rnacentral:rRNA from 1 species
ACCUUUACAAUGCACGAAAGUGUGAUAGGGGGACUCAAAGUGCUCAUACACUGUAUGGGCUUUUGCCAACUCAAAAUUUGUUGGCGAAUAAGUGGUGGGGAAGACUGGUGCCAGCCGCCGCGGUAACACCAGCGCCACAAGUGGGAGCCGGUAUUAUUGGGCCUAAAGCGUCCGUAGCAGGUCUGAAAAAUUACUUGUGAAAUCGCAUAGCUUAACUAUGCGGAUUGCUAGUAACACUAUCAGACUAGAGACCGGGAGAUGUCGGAGGUAUUUAGGGGGGAGCGGUAAAAUGCGAGAAUCCUCUGAGGACCACCUGUUGCGAAGGCGUCCGACAAUAACGGGUCUGACUGUGAGGGACUAAAGCUAGGGGAGCGAACCGGAUUAGAUACCCGAGUAGUCCUAGCCCUAAACGCUGCGAGCUAGGUGUUGCAUAAUCUUCGGGAUUAUGCAGUAUCGUAGAGAAGUCGUUAAGCUCGCCGCCUGGGAAGUACGGC